CUCCUACCGGCCCGCCUGUUUUUUCGCCUGUGGCUUAGGAACUCCAGCCUCACCUGAUCUCCGAAUGGACCUCAGCUGCUCCUGCGCCACUGGUAAAGGAUGCCUGGUUUCGGGUCUUAGGAUCUUCAUUUUCAUACCACAGAAUAGAACAUCCCUGGGGCAGGAGGCAGGUGCAUUUUGAGCUCUUCCUAAAGUGGACUCCUUUGCUUUGCACUUCUCGAGCUUUCUCCCCGCCAAGAGCCUUCAUCACCACUUAGAACAUUGCCAUCUUCCUAGUGCCUCCGAUUUCUGAGGCGAGAGGACUGAGGCUGAAAACUGCCCGGCUGCAGGUCACCCUCAAGGCCAAAGGUGGCUCCUGCACCUGUGCCAGCUCCUGCAAAUGCAAAGAGUACAAAUGCACCUCCUGCAAGAAGAACUGCUGCUCCUGCUGCCCCAUGGGCUGUGCCAAAUGUGCCCAGGGCUGCACCUGAAAAGGGGCAUUGGAGAAGUGCAGCUGCCGUGCCUGAUGUUGGGACAGCCCUGCGUCCAGUUGUAAAUAACGCAACCCCUACAAAUCUAGUUUUUUUUUAAACACAAACCUAACCCAUUUACUAUGUCUGUUUUCUUAAAUGAAAUAUGGGAAUGAUAAUAAACAUUGUUGGCCUUA
rnacentral:lncRNA from 1 species